AGGGGGAAAGAUCCCUUUGCAGUUUUGUUCUCAACCCUUCAGCUGCACUCUCUCAUCGUCCAACUUCCACGCAGCCACCACCAACGCGGGCGACGAGCGAUGCUUGAAGGACGCUAUUCUUAAAUUGGGGAAGUCCAUUUACUUUGGCAACUCAGUGCAUUGAGCUGUUAGUGAACACGGAGAAGACGGUUUUCUCAGCUGCUGAAUUUUGCAAUGGCUUUUCUGUUU
rnacentral:misc_RNA from 1 species